rnacentral:rRNA from 1 species
UACGUAGGGGGCAAGCGUUGUCCGGAUUUAUUGGGCGUAAAGGGCGCGUAGGCGGGAUGGCAAGUCGGUCGUGAAAUCCCUCGGCUCAACUGAGGAUCGUCGAUCGAUACUGCCGUUCUUGAGGAUUGCAGAGGAGACUGGAAUUCCCGGUGUAGCGGUGAAAUGUGUAGAGAUCGGGAGGAACACCGGUGGCGAAGGCGGGUCUCUGGGCCGAUACUGACGCUGAGGAGCGAAAGCGUGGGGAGCGAACAGG